UCGGGCCACCACAAUGGUGCACAAAUUAGUGGACCUUUCCCACUUUAUUAAUUGGGUGAAGGAGGCAGGCCCCGAUGGGCUGAGAGUGUCCAAGAAAGCCGUUAAACGGGCUCUUCUUAUAAUAAAAAUGUGCUCAAAAGAGGAGCUGAAAAACAGGCAGGCCUGGCAGCAGGAGGUCCACUUAUCGAAAUCUGGUGAGAUCUUUAGCAGAUAGCCAAACCCACUGUCCUGGAGUGAAGAUGGGUCCUGCCCUUCGACAGUGAUCAGCCUGUUCCUCUACUCCGUGGACUGCUCGAUGAAGGUCUCCUCACUUCUAUACCGUGGCCGGGAAGUGCAAGACAACAUUACAAAGUGUGAAACACUUUUACAAAGCUCGAGACAAAAUUUACAUUUUGGAAAACAUUUUUACCAAUCAUUAAACACAAUUACACGGGGAAAACACUUUUACCAAGGAAGAAACAAAUUUACAUUUUAGAAAACAAAUUAACAAGACACAAAACACUUUUACCAGUCCCGAAACAAAUUUACAAUGACAGAUUCUUCACGGAAAGGGAAUGUACCACACAUCGGAAGUGACGUGGUGAAAGGUGUUGUUGUUUUUGGUGAGUGCGUUAAAUUCGUAUUGUGGAAUAAAUGACUUAAAUAAAGUUUAUGGUGACCGAGCAUGGACUGCGACCGAGGGAUGUUUUGCCUGUUUUGUGGCAAACACAUGAGCAGCUUAACUCGGUUUUGCUUUGCGUGUGGUCGGUGUUUGGAGUUCCUAAAGGACUUCACCAUCUGCGGUGUGCUUAAUCAAACUACCUCUUUUUUAUAUCGGAAAACCUUUUGGAUCCAGCUGCCCAUGCUGAGUUUGUGAGGGCCACUUCGGAGGUGCUUCCCAAAAUACUGCAAAAACUGCAUCAUGAUCAGAGGCAGCUGGACCUGUUCUUUGGUCUCCUCGGUGGGGUCAUGAUUGUAACCUCUGACCACAGGCCCGGGGGUAGUCAUGAACCUCACCGUGGAGGAAUUUCAGGCAUCCAAAGAAGGAAGAGAUGGCCAUGCCAUUUUUGUGAGUGUUGUAGUAGUCAUUGUUUUGUUUGCAUUUGUCUGUUUAUAUAUAUAUAGUCGUACACUUAUUCAUAAUUAUCUUACUUCACAAGUAAAAAAGCACAAAACAUGUGCAACGUUCGGCCAUGCAAUACUCUCCAUCACAAAGGGGGAGUAUAAUUGCAUGGCUGAAUUUCUAAAAAUCCGUGGAAGCUUUGAGGGGAGCCAGUCAGCCCUCUUCUUUUUUAAUUCGAAGGGUGGGGUGUUCAAGGGCCUCCUCAAUGCUUUCAUGGCUGAAUGGGAGUUUGUGGGCCUCCCUAAACCGGCCCCAACUUUCAUGGCCUUGAGGACCUCUAUGUCGACUCAGAAAACCUUUUGGAUCCAGCUGCCCAUUCUGAGUUUGUGAGGGCCACUUCGGAGGUGCUUCCCAAAAUACUGCAAAAACUGCAUCAUGAUCAGAGGCAGCUGGACCUGUUCUUUGGUCUCCUCGGUGGGGUCAUGAUUGUAACCUCUGACCACAGGCCCAUGGGUAAUCAUGAACCUCACCGUGGAGGAAUUUCAGGCAUCCAAAGAAGGAAGAGAUGGCCAUGCCAUUUUUGUAAAAAAGCACAAAACAUGUGCAACAUUCGGCCAUGUGAUACUCUCCAUCACAAAGGGGGAGUAUAAUUGCAUGGCUGAAUUUCUAAAAAUCUGUGGAAGCUUUGAGGGGAACCAGUCAGCCCUCUUCUUUUUCAAUUUGAAGGGUGGGGUGUUCAAGGGCCUCCUCAAAGCUUUCACUGCUGCAUGGGAGUUUGUGGGCCUCCCUAAACCGGCCCCAACUUUCAUGGCCUUGAGGAACUCUAUGUCCACUUAGGUAACUGUACAUUUUGAUACACACACACACACACACACUGUCUCACUGUCAUACAUUCUCUCACACACACAAGCACACAAACACUUUCUCAAACAUACUCAUGCAUGUUUCUGUGAAUUUUGGGGACUUUCCAUAGUCUUCUGUUGUUUUGAUACUGACCAAACACCAUUUUUAUCCUCUAACCCAAUCCUUACAGAAAACCUGUUUGCAUUGUUACAUUUUCAGAUAAACUUCAUAUAGUAUUUUAUUUUUAUUUUUUUUCCCUCAUGGGGACCAAAGGCUGGACCCCACACAAUUAAAAAAGUUUCAGGUUUUAUUAUACUUAAGGAGACAUUGUGUUCAUCUUAAUGUGGUAUAAACAAGUGUGUGCAACACACACUCUCUCACACACACUUUGUCUCUCUCUCUCUCUUAACUCACACACUUUCUCUUUGUCUCUCUCUCUUAACUCACACACACGUUUAGGGUGCUUUUUUGGCAUUACAAAAAUCUAACAGGUACAAAAGUAGAAGUUAAUAAAAGUAAUACAGUAAACGGUAAGUAAUACGCUAAAAUAAAAAGCAUUAGUAAUAGUCAGCUGCAAAUAUGUCUUGACCCCAAAAAAAUUCUAUUAAGUGUGCAGGAGAUGGACUGGGGGUCACUUAUUGUCCCUCAUGAUGUGUCAGGUGAACACAUAUUCAGCUGCUAGAAUGAAGCAGGCUGCACAUUACACCAGUAAUACAAGCGGUUUCUCAUUGUUUGACAGAGGCUGGAAUCUCUGGUGUAAAUAUACAAAUGUAGAAUAAAAUGUUCCACAAUUUGUGAGUAUUUUAUAUAAAAAUGUCCAAUCCCACCCCAAUCACAAUAAAGACAAAAAUGUUAAUUUAUGGGUUGUCAUAUCCACACCAAGUUAAACCUUUCAUCUGAUCAAGCAGAAUGUUAACGCCAUCUUGAGCUUCACCAAGGUAUCUCUGGCUAAAACUAGAUAACGUUAAGCUGUGUUCACACCAAACGCGAACAGAGCGUCAAAUUCGCAUCUACCGCGUCUAGUUUGCCGCUUGACCAUUUUGAGAUCAUUCGCGCGUUAAAUUAACUUCACUACAGACGCGA